rnacentral:rRNA from 1 species
GACGAACGCUGGCGGCGUGCCUAACACAUGCAAGUCGAGCGAGUGAAUCUCCUUCGGGAGUGAAGCUAGCGGCGGACGGGUGAGUAACACGUGGGCAACCUGCCUCAUAGAGGGGAAUAGCCUCCCGAAAGGAAGAUUAAUACCGCAUAAGAUUGUAGCUUCGCAUGAAGUAGCAAUUAAAGGAGCAAUCCGCUAUGAGGUGGGCCCGCGGCGCAUUAGCUAGUUGGUGAGGUAACGGCUCACCAAGGCGACGAUGCGUAGCCGACCUGAGAGGGUGAUCGGCCACAUUGGGACUGAGACACGGCCCAGACUCCUACGGGAGGCAGCGGUGGGGAAUAUUUCACAAUGGGGGAAACCCUGAUGCAGCAACGCCGCGUGAGUGAUGACGGCCUUCGGGUUGUAAAGCUCUGUCCUCAGGGACGAUAAUGACGGUACCUGAGGAGGAAGCCACGGCUAACUACGUGCCAGCCGCCGCGGUAAUAC